rnacentral:rRNA from 2 species
UACGUAGGUGGCAAGCGUUAUCCGGAAUGAUUGGGCGUAAAGGGUGCGUAGGUGGUACAUUAAGUCUGAAGUAAAAGGCAGCAGCUCAACUGCUGUUCGCUUUGGAAACUGGUGAACUAGAGUGCAGGAGAGGGCGAUGGAAUUCCAUGUGUAGCGGUAAAAUGCGUAGAUAUAUGGAGGAACACCAGUGGCGAAGGCGGUCGCCUGGCCUGUAACUGACACUGAGGCACGAAAGCGUGGGGAGCAAAUAGG